CGGCGCACAUAAGACAUGCAAGUCGAACGGAAGUCGUUGUAAUGAUGUGGACAUGAACGGAGAACUUGUUCAAAGAGAGUGAAAAUUGACUUACAACAAUGGCUUUAGUGGCGGACUGGUGAGUAAUGUAUAAGUAACCUGCCUAUCAGAGGGGAACAACAGUUGGAAACGACUGCUAAUACCGCAUAUGCCAUAAGGGAGACAUCUCCCAAGUGGGAAAGGAGCAAUCCGCUGAUAGAUGGACUUAUAUCUGAUUAGCUAGUUGGUGUGGUAACGGCAUACCAAGGCGACGAUCAGUAGCCGGACUGAGAGGUUAAACGGCCACAUUGGGACUGAGAUACGGCCCAGACUCCUACGGGAGGCAGCAGUCGGGAAUAUUGCGCAAUGGAGGAAACUCUGACGCAGUGACGCCGCGUGCAGGAAGAAGGUUUUCGGAUUGUAAACUGCUUUAGACAGGGAAGAAAAAGGACAGUACCUGUAGAAUAAGCUCCGGCUAACUACGUGCCAGCCGCAGC
rnacentral:rRNA from 1 species